AGAAAGAACGCAGCCCUGCUGACAGCUGUAAGCCCGUGAGACUCAUCUCAGAUUGCCGAACUACAGAACUUUUAUGCUUACAGGUACCUCGUGACCCCGAGCCUUUCGUGUCGACUGAAGCCCAGCACAGCGGACUGAAGAAAACCAAGCUGUACUCAAAUGGUUUUUUUGGAUUUGGCCUGUUGACUUCCUACCCCAAGGAGCCUUAAAGUUUACCAGAUGGAUAAACAGCAGUGUGGUUUAGCCCUCUCAAGUCCUGCUUUUAGCACUCCAGUCCUGUGAAAAUACCCAAGUCCCACGGGUUGCUCGGUUCUUAGCAGUGGGACCAGAAUCCGCACACACCCCCAGGAAGAGGCUGCUGCAGAUAUAACCUCUUCAUGAGCCUCUCUGCUCUCAAACCUCAGCUCCUCACUCUCCAGUGCCAUUAGACAGAUUUAUAUUUUAUGCAUCCCUCUUUCUGUAGUUCUUGGCACAUUGUGGGCCUGCCUGAAAAUACAACCAGGAGCAGAAAUACGCAUGUCCUUAUCGCCA